rnacentral:tRNA from 1 species
GUGGGUAUAGCUCAGUGGUAGAGCACAUGCUUAGCAUGCAUGAGGUCCUAGGUUCAAUCUCCAGUACCUCCA